AAAUAUAGCCCAACAAGAUGAAAAUGUAAAAGUGAUAAUUAAAAAAUAGCCAAAAUAUGUAAAUGACGUCAUUUGCAUCUAUCGUCUGCUUCAGUUGAAGUUUCGUACGGGGAUGAAGACGUUUUAAAUUAAGGAAAUUGCUCGUAAAGUAAAUUAUUUGAAUAAUUAAUGUUAAAUUUAAUGCAAAUGACUCGUGUACGUUGUUUAUCUACGAUAUUCUUUUCCCCUUUUUCUGCUUACAAACUUUUAGGCCUAAAGCUAAUUUUCUCGAGCUUUAUUCUUCAUCACAAACUGAUCAUCUUUGGUCUUCCGUGUGGUGAGAUAGUGAUAGUGAGAAGCCACUAUUAAAAUUUCAUAUACCUGAAAGAGAAAGUGACAAAGGUAGUAUCCAUAUGUGAUCCCAUCCCACCCUCCCAUAUAGAUACAACUUCAUUCUAUGAAUGCAACUGCAUACUCAAAGAUGAUCCAAACUCUGCAACAACCCUAGUACUGUAAACUGAUUACCAAGUGAUUACUCAACAUACUCUCUAAUGUCAAUUGUAACUAACAAUCAACCAUGUAAGUUAUUUUUUUAAAAAAAUUUGUUUAAAAUAUUAUACAUAUUAUUCUGUAAAAUGUAACCCAUAUCCAUCUCUUUUUCUGUAAAGUCUAAGGACUGAAAAGGGGCACCUGAAAUGCAUUUCGUUAACACCUGAAAUGCAUUUCGUUUAAUAAAAAAUACAUAAAUCAACUGUUCCUUGUGUGAUGUAUUGCUGAAGAAAGAAAGCCACUAACUUUUAAUUCUUUAAAGUCUACAAAAAUCCCAUAACAGAAACCUAAUUAAAAAGCAAUCAGUUUAAAAAGUUGUAAUUAUACAUAUAGUGUUAUUUCUAGAAUUUUAUCGAAUUCAAACAAAGAACAAGUUCCAUUUACAUCCGUUAGCUUAAGUGGAAAAGUUGAAUCAUUUUCAACAUUUAGAUCAGUAAAAAAAUAAAAAUAAAGAGAGCAUUUUUAAUCAAUUCUUCACAUACACUUCCAAAAUAUUGACACACUAAAAGACAAUACAAAAAAAUUUUCUGCAAACUCAUACUUCCCAUUAGACAACAUUCUACAAAUCUAUUUUAAAGUAUGAGAAUACCAUUAAUUUGACUAAGAUUCAAAAUUUAAGAUAAUAUUUUACUAAAAUACCAGUCUGUCAUUCAUUGAGUACAUAAAAUUAUUUAUAUCAUAUUAAAAUUGUAUUAUCCAAUGAAACAGAAAACUAUUGUAAAUUUCAAAUCACUUGUCCUUAAAACACAAAACUCUAAUUACUAAUAAAAAUCAUAAACCAUCACUAUUAUCUCUUAAUGUACGAUACUCCUGCCAUAUCCACUAUGGCCGAAUCCUAUCAAAUCUCAAGAUUUUGGCAAUUUUGCAUUGUUUGAAAUAAAUUGAACUUAAAAAAACUCUACCAUGUUGUAUGAAUCAAAAUUUAUAACAAAAAAGUUUUCCUUUUACAGUAAUCUAUUGCUCUAUCUAUCAUAAUAAAGUGGCAGCCAACAAUUAUAACUUUUCAAGGUCACAAAUAGCAAAAAAAACCAGUAUCUGCUCGUCGAAAGUAUUUGGAAAUAAUUUCAAAAGAAAACCUCAAAACCUAAUUCAUAACAACAACUUAAUUUUAAAACAUUUGCUAUUGAGACAAACUAAAUGACUUCACAAUGCAGAAUACUACAUAAUUCUAUGUCACACUAUAAAGACAAAUCAGUGGUUUUAUUAUUUUAAGAAAAAUUAAGUAAACAUCAAAAUUUAUCAUCAAAUUCCACUUAAUAA